UUUUUAGAAUUUCUUGAAUUUUGUAUGUAAUUUAUUGUAUGUGAUUUAGGAUUAGUGUAUGCUAUGAUAUAUGUUUUGCAAAAGAACAACAACAUUGUUUUCGAUUGAAAUUGCUACAUUGAGUUUAUUCCAAGGCCAAACAUAGAAAAAAGAAACAUCUAUCGAUUUUCUAUGUUUAAAACAUUUAUUCGUUUAAAAGUUAAACUUUAUAGUUUUAUUUUUUAAUUUUCUUAUAAAUUGUGAUAAUAGUAAAAUGAAUUAUUGCAUAAAUUGACUCUUGAAGUAGGAAUAAAAUAAAGCAAUAUUGAAUGUAUAGCAAUCAGAGCUAAUACCAAUAUUGGAAAUUGAAGUAAACUUUGAAAAUCUUUUUUGUUUUGCAUAAUCUAGUAUUGUUAUAUUAUGUGUUCUUAAAGGAUCUGCGGAAAAAAAAAAAUAAAUCUUAGUGGGUAUACUUGGGUAUAUUUCCAUAUUUUUUACUUUUAAUAAAGAAAAUUAAAAUAGUUCAAUCAUAUAAUACAAAUUGCUUGCCAUUCAACAUAGCUUCUUGUUUUGAUUUCAUUUUAUUUAAUAAAUUAUUUAUUUAUUCAGCACAUAUAUUUGUGUCUAUUAGAUAAUGUUUUGCUUAAAAAUCUUUAAUCAUAAUAUAUAUGUAUUCAUUGUUUUAGAAAUUAUAUCUUAAAAGUUAGUAAAUAUUGUGGAUCCAACACAUAUGAACUUUUCUACUUAACACACAAAGUCUACCUAAUCAUGAACAAAAAAAAAUAGAAGAGAACAUAUCAGCUUCAGUAUAUGAUGAAAAUCACUUAAAUAUUUCAAUGUUCUUGAUCAAUUCAUACUUAUUUUUUUUUUGUGUUUGAUACAUAUAUUAGAAAGUUAUUUACUAUAUCCAAUUUACCUUAUGCUUUGUAUUAAACAUAACUAAAACUGAUGACCCCCUUGUGCCCCCACAUAGUAUCUUAUAACCUACGUUCAGGUAGGAGGUACCUUUUCGUAUGAAUUCGCGGUUACCAUUUUGGCUAUUCCAUUAAAUGUAUGAGUACAUUUAUGUUUUUUAAGUAAGUCAUCCAAAAAUAGGUAAUGUUUUAAGUUCUUAAAGUUUUAAUCUGAUUGCUGAAAUAAUAAAACAGUCAUUUGUUUCUUCUAUUCAACCGUA